rnacentral:siRNA from 1 species
UCUGUAAACAUUGUCCUGUCAA